rnacentral:lncRNA from 1 species
AUGGUAAAUAUUACAAUAUAUUUGUAUACAAAGGGUUAUGCCAAGCUCUUGGGAUACCAAGUACCUUUCUGAUUUCUAGUACUCUUCCUCUUUCCAAAGAAGAAAAGACUGCAUGUUAGACCUUUCCAAUUAAAGGGGAACUCAUCCAACUCACACUCUUCCUAGCCACAUUCAAACUUGAGUGCUUUUCAUUUGGAAUUGUAGACUCAAAGACCUCUUAUUUUUUCAAAGGAGUUUUAGCCAUCUGCUAGUAAGUAGAAAAGGCUGAGAAAAAGGAAGAGUUUCAGUGGGUCUCCAGGACAUCAUCAAAACAAUGUUGUCAGUCAACAUUCAAUCUACCCCCUUCUUGGCUGACAGAGUUCCAAAGUUGCUUUAGAGCCUAUUCCUCCCUCAUGUGACUCAAGGGAGUCACCAGCCGUAGCCUAUCUCCAGCAGUCAAUCCUGACCCAACGGAGACAGCCAUGAUGGUCCUGCUCUUGCCCAUGGUUUGUUUAGGACUGACACUGCAGUCUAUUGUGACCAAACAGUUCUGGCAGAAGGUCUCCUGGGAAAGGUUUCCUCACUCCUAAAAGAGACACACAUGAAGACAGUUUCUUCUUCCUCUGGAUGUGGUUGUUUGUUGUGAUACACAAAAAGGUGGUAGCCACCUUCAACCAUGGGGAGAGCCAGCCCGAGGACAAGGAUGAUAUGUGAAGCCAAAAGCAGUUGACUGUGACACAUGCUGGAAGUGUCUCUGAAGAUGGUUCUAUUUCAGUAAUGCGAGAGCCUGCCUUCCUAGGGUCACUCUGGAUCACUGUCAUCAGCUAAUGUAGUGCAAGCUAUUGACCCACAACUUUACAGAGUUGAAGAGGCCACUGCCUAUAAUCUACCUACAGGUUUCCUGGCAUUUCUGGUGUUUCUUCAUAAUCCACUGUGAAACUGGUUUCAGUGUUCAACCCACAUUGCCUUUACAGGUUGUGGGAAUCAUUAGCUGCCACCCUUCCCCAUGGGAGUGUGUUCCUUCAGGAGCUGCCUGGAAAGUGCAAAUGAUAAAGUCACAAAGUUUGGGACUGUUUUGGACCUACAGGAGAACUGGUCACACGGUGAGUCCUUUUAGGGACAGUAAUUCUCAGUGUAGGGUUGGGGGAGAAAAGGGAAGGAGCACAGGGCUUUUUCAAACAAAACAAGGCCCCUCCCUCCUCCUCAUCCCAGCUGGAUUCCAAUACAAAGGCCUGG